UACGGGGGGGAGCAAGCGUUGUUCGGAUUUACUGGGCGUAAAGGGCGCGUAGGCGGCGUGACAAGCCACUUGUGAAAUCUCCGGGCUUAACUCGGAACGGUCAAGUGAUACUGUCGUGCUAGAGUACAGAAGGGGCAACUGGAAUUCUCGGUGUAGCGGUGAAAUGCGUAGAUAUCGAGAGGAACACCUGCGGCGAAGGCGGGUUGCUGGGCUGAUACUGACGCUGAGGCGCGAAAGCUAGGGGAGCGAACGGG
rnacentral:rRNA from 1 species